GGCGGUUCUCGAAAAAAGAUAGCGAAAAAAAUUAUUCCUAGAGUCGAUACUAAGAGGAAUGUAUAAACUAAUGCUUCCAUAGAUUCAAUCGUGGUUUACAAUUAUAGCUUCCAUAUCUGUUUAUUUAGAGCGUUCCCGGAUAAAAAAGAGCAAGAGUCAAGACAAAGAAAAGGCGGCGAUUCAAAUCAAGAUGUCCCCAGUACCCUAUGUCAAAUUACAAAAAGAAAAUAGAGACGCAAAAUCAGAGAUUAAUGUUGUAUCAAACUACUUGUCUUCUUGUAGUUGGAUCUCCAAGUUUUUGGAAUGCUCCAAAUUCCACCUGAGCGUCUAAAUCUGGAUCAAUACCAGCAAAAACAUCUCUGAACAAGGUUCGAGAGCCAUGCCAAAUGUGUCCGAAGAAGAAGAGCAGGGCAAACGAAGCAUGUCCAAAAGUAAACCAACCCCUUGGACUACUACGAAAAACACCAUCGGAUUUCAAAGUAGCACGAUCUAAUUCAAAAAUUUCACCCAAUUGUGCGCGUCUAGCAUAUUUUUUCACAGUAGCAGGAUCACUAUAACUGACUCCAUUUAGUUCACCACCAUAGAACUCAACAGUUACACCUACUUGUUCAACACUAUACUUCGAUUCUGCCCUUCGAAAAGGAACAUCGGCUCUAACAAUUCCGUCUCCGUCUACCAAAACAACCGGAAAUGUUUCAAAAAAAGUAGGCAUACGACGUACAAAAAGCUCACGCCCUUCUUUAUCUCUAAAUAGAGGAUGUCCUAACCACCCAAUAGCUAUUCCAUCCCCGUUAUCCAUUGAACCUGCUCUGAACAAUCCACCCUUUGCCGGAUUAUUUCCGAUGUAAUCAUAAAAAGCUAAUUUUUCAGGAAUUUUAGACCAAGCUUCGGAUAAGCUUUGAUUUUCAGCCAGCCCAGUACCAACUCUUCGAUAUAUUUCUUGCUGGAAGUAUCCUUGAUCCCAUUGAUAACGAGUGGGACCAAAUAAUUCAAUGGGGGUAGUUGCUGAACCAUACCACAUAGUUCCAGCAACAACAAAAGCUGCAAAAAAGACAGCAGCGAUACUACUGGAAAGCACGGUUUCAAUAUUUCCCAUACGUAAUCCUUUGUAUAGACGUUGGGGCGGGCGGACACUAAGAUGGAAUAGGCCCGCCAAUAUGCCCAAUGUCCCUGCUGCAAUAUGAUGAGAGGCUAUUCCUCCCGGAACAAAAGGAUCAAAACCUUCCACACCCCACGCUGGAUUUACAGAUUGUACUUUUCCGGUUAGCCCAUAAGGAUCAGACACCCAUAUUCCAGGACCAUACAAUCCUGUUACAUGAAAAGCACCAAACCCAAAACAAGCCACUCCUGAGAGAAAUAAAUGAAUUCCAAAGAUCUUGGGCAAAUCUAAAGAAGGUUUUCCUGUACGUUCAUCACAAAAGAUUUCUAGAUCCCAAUACACCCAAUGCCAGAUAGCUGCCAAGAAGCACAAGCCAGAAAACACAAUAUGCGCCCCAGCCACACCUUCAUAACUCCAAAUACCCGGAUUCGUUAUAGUUCCUCCUGUAAUACUCCAACCACCCCAUGAAUUGGUUAUUCCUAAACGAGUCAUGAAGGGUAUAACGAACAUACCUUGUCUCCACAUUGGAUCGAGAACGGGGUCAGAAGGAUCAAAAACUGCUAAUUCAUAUAGAGCCAUCGAGCCGGCCCAACCAGCAACCAAAGCUGUAUGCAUUAUAUGGACAGCCAGCAAACGACCGGGAUCAUUCAAUACGACGGUAUGAACACGAUACCAAGGCAAACCCAUGGAAUACCCCCUUAUCAACGAAAGAUAGACACUAUGUAACUUUAUUGCACUGGAAAAAACUAUGUUAUGGACCUCCCUUUUUCAGUGGAUUAUCUCGGAGAAAGGAUUCCAUUUUUUUUUUAGUAUUUUAGUCAGAAUGUCACAAUUCUGUUUGUAGGAACAAAGAGAAGCAGAUCUAUUCUAUACCAGAUAAGUACCAAUACGCAAUGGGAGGUUGACUCCAUUUUAGAUGAGCGAAUGCAUACGGAUUUGUUCAUCAUUCAAAGAGCCUAUUCGUAAGAAUUUGACUUUAAUUCAUUUUGUCUUCUUUUUUUUUAUGUUAUGAACUUAUCGAAUCUGCGCAAAUAACAAAUAAAAUAAAACAAAAAAAUAAAGAAAAUAGAAAAAAUAAUAAAAUAAAAGCCAAUAUCCAAUAUAAUAUUAUUAAGACAAUAAAUUCAUAUAAUAUUAUUAAAACAAUAAAUUCAUUGUUACGCUUUCACAUCAAAGUAAAAUAAAGUACUUCAUUUUUUUUUAUUUCAUUUAAUGUCUAUUAGUGUUCCAAAAGUUCCUUUUUAAAAUCCCGGAGAAGAUAGUUCAAAUUGGAUUGUCUUAAUAAUAUUAUAUGAAUUUAUUAAGAAUACUUAUAGUAGUUUUCCACGUAAACGCGACGCGGCUUUAAAGGCAGCCAGCCGCCCAAACCUUGUAAGUUGUAACUAUGCACCUCAUUUUCUUUUUGGCGGUUGCUUUAUAACCUUGUCUUUGUCUAUCUUCUCUCACAGCUCCCCACGUGUCACGCAACAAGUUAUCCCUUCCCUCACCCGCAUGUCCCUUAUUGAAUUCCCCCACACAGCAGCCGACGCGCCGGUUUCAACUGUCUGUCACCUUCCAACACAUCAUCACCACACAUGUCGCUUCCUCUGAAAAUCCGUACAUGUAUUCACGUGAUAACUGCCACGUCGCUUGCAUCUAUUGGACGGUUGUCAAUAUCAUAGGCACCCGCUUCACCAUGGCAUUAAGAUGAAAAAUCUUUGAAAAUGGGUUACAAGAAACAAAUGUGGGCCCCACCAUGAGCGGCCGCCGCGCCUCCUCUACCUGACUAUUUCACACGUGGACCCCUUGCCUAAGCCACAAUUUCUUAAAAGGGUAAUGGCACGAAUCUUAUCUUUCCAGUAGACUUUUAAACAUACACUUUUUUCCAGUUAUAAUACUCCAUUUUAAUCGUCUUGUUUUCCUAUGUUAAUUUAGCCCAACAUGUACAAUUUAUAAUGUUUUUUUUAUUAUUAUUAUUAUUUCUUCUAUUAAACGAUAUCCUUCAAUUAUUGGACAUUUAUUAUGGAUUAGACCCGACAUUUUAAUUCUAUAUAUUUCAUUUUUAUCUUCGUUGUUAUUAGAUCAAAAUAAAAAAAAUACAGUGCGAGAAUAAUUUCCAUGCAAUUACGGAUGUUAUUCGAUUUGUUUUUGUGUUUUAAAAAAAAUUUUGAAAAAAUUUAAAAAAAUUUAAUUUUUUUUAGCUUUAAAUUAAUAUUUUUUGGUGUUUUUAGAUCGUUUUGAUGUGUUCAUGUUAAAAAUAAUUUUUAAAAAAUAAAAAAAUAUUAUUUUGAUACAUUUUCGAGUAAAAAAUAUUUUAAAAAGAAACCGCAACAACACUCUCAAAUACACUCGAACAAUUUUAACUCUAUUCUUUCAUAAUUGUUUUGUGGGAUAUUCAUUUCCAUCAUACAAUGGUCGAAGUUCAUAUAUGAUAGUAUAAAGAUUAUGGAACUAACUUAAUGUUUCUCACUCUUUCUCUCCAAUGUCAUUUGUAAGUUUAAACUAUAUGUUUCAAUUGUGCUAAUUAAAUGUGGUCUCAGGUAGUAGGUGGUCUAGUGGUAAGAGCUUUGGAUCAAGAGGUUUGCUUUCCCUGUGGUCCCAGGUUUGAGCCAUGUGGUUGCUAAUAUAAUAGUCAUUGGAAGUUUACAUGGUCGUUAACUUCAGGGCCAGCGAGAUUAGAUGCGCGCAAGCUGGCCCAAACACCUACGUUAAUAAUAAUAAAAAAAAUGCUAACUAAAUCUGUGUUUUACAACUUCAAUGGACCGUAUGUUUUAGAUUCCUUAUAAUAUAUAUACUGUUUAGGUGCAAAUAAUUAUAUAUAUUAAAGACUUUUCUUCUCUUCUCUUUUUGAUUCACACAUCUAAAGUUGUUAGUUCAAAAUAAUGGAUGCGUACGGAAGUAAUCAUUGGUAUGUAUCCAAGGAAUUAGCCAGGUCAAAUAAUACCAAUACCCUUUUAGGAAAAAUUAAGAAGUUGAUUAGUAGAGUAGUUAAUAGUAAUCAAAUGUUGUAAAUAAUUGAAUAAUUUUGAGUUUCAAAUUAAGAUAUGAUCAUUUUGGAUAAUAGCUUGAUGAGACUUCCAUUAUAGAAUGUUAAUUUGUUUUGAUAAAGCAAAAAUCCAAAGUAGUGGUAACUAGUAAGUUAAAGGAGAAGGGAAGCGCAAUAUGAGCACACUGAAAUCAAAGCUUCCAACUUCAAGUACUAAAAAAAGAUCACGUGAGAGGUCGAGGAGAAGAAGCACCUUGCCGCCGCCACCAAUACCAAACGCAAUUAUAUGUGAGUAAAGAAAGGGACAGUCUUUGUAUUGUUCAAAGACUCUGUAGUUUUAUUGGCUAGAUUUUAGGUUUGUUUUUUAAAAAUUACUGGUUCGAGUCUCAUAAAUUUCAGAGUCAUUGGAGACUUAUAUAAUUGUUAACUUUAGAGCCUGUAAAAUUAAUCAAGAUACGCGGAAGCUGACUCAAACACCCACGUUAAUAAUAAUAAUAAAAAAAAAACUUUGGUCUGCUCUACAUUUAUUGUCUUAAAUUAAAAUUUGCUUAGAGAAACAUCGUCUACUUCUUCACCUUUUCCUCUUCCCUGUCCCAAAAGUCCAAUCCACUAGUCUUUCAAUUCUGAGUCACCAUUCCUAUGAAACACACUUAUCCAUUUCUCCACAUUCCUAUUUCUCUUUCUCUUCCUGUAGGGAGUAUUAUUUUUUAUACCCCGCUUUCAUUCACAGUCAUCUUUAAAAUAAAUUUUUUUUCCUCCCCACAUCAAAAUUGGUUCAUAACAACCAGCAGAAAGAAAUGAAAUUCCUAAAACAUUACCAGAUAGCUCGUUUUUUGCAAAGAGAAGCCUAUACAAUAAGGGAUUUCUUCUGUAAUUAGAAUUAUUUUGUUGGUUUUGUUAAACCGCUCAAAACAAGAAGACAAAUACAAAGUGAAGGAGUGUAGAUCAAUGUACCUAUAUGCUAUGACAGUUCCACUUCCCUAACCACAAAACAAUUGUUUUGGUCUUGGACUGCUAAGCACAGAUCCACACUGAAUUAUCAAGAUCUUGUUAUUUGUCAAAACAAACAACAACUUCUUCUUUUGAGCAGUAGUUAUUUGUCAGUUUGGCACUUCUGUUAUUGCUACUGCCAUUGGCUUAGAGAUGUCAGUGUUUAGAGGACUCUUAGAUAUGGUAAUCUUUAGCAGGUAUUUCUUAGCAAGUGUUUAGAGGCCUAAAUUACAAACCAGAGACUAAUUCUGCAGUAAACUGGAUUGGAGUAGCCAUUUUGUUAGGUCUAGUGCUAAAUUCUGGGGAAGGAGAUUACUUUACUUUCCUAGAUUUUACUCAUACUCUGGCCAAACUGAUCAGCACAUGAAGAAGCAAGUGGAGGGAAACCAUGAAAGGGAUUUGAGGAACACAUUAGGAAAUUUUUUGUUGAGAUUCUCUUAAGGUUGGCUUUGUCUACUGAUUUUGGUCCUCAUUAAAGUUCGGAUCAUGUAUGUACUUGCUCUCUGUUAGACUAAUAUUUUAAAGAAACGCCUUAUCAGAAUUUUUGUUAUGAUUAAUUACAUGGAAGAUGAAAUCCUUUAGCUCAUACUAUUUUGAGUCCAACUAAGAAGAGUUCGUUGCUUGCCUUGUUGUAGCGGUGAGGCAGUCACAAGGUUCCCAGGCUAGGCAAUGAAUUUAACAGAUCCCAGACAUGUAAAAUGAACAUUCCCUUGAAUUUGACAGAUUCUAGACAUGCAAACUCACUUAAAUGGUCCUAAAUCUUUGACUUUGUGUUUGGAAAUCCCAAUAUACACUGAGUAUUGGUAUGUCUACCCUUUGAGUUUAUUGUCUACCCUUUGACUUCUCCCCCUCCAUCUCUGAGUUGGUAUCUCAGAUCUCUCGAAGUAGUAUCACAGAAUUCUGCUCCUUGCUCUAAAAUUCAAGCAUGCACUAUUUUGAAUGUAAACCAGUAGGCACUGCAACAUAAUUAUUUUCUUGGAAAUUUAUUCCCAUCCUGUUGUAUUUCAUCAUCAUUUAAAUUGGUUUUUGUUUUGAAUGUACUAUUUCAUAUAACAUUGUUUGCAUGCUUGCAAAUUAUAGCCUAACAAUCUUUUAGAUCACCUGAGACAACAAAUUUGAUUUGUUUGUUUUAGGUUUAUUAAUGGUUAGUUAAUAAAAAUCUAUGAACAUGAAUAAUAAUUCUAUUGUAUUUUUAAGUUACUAAAUCUUUUCUUGAAUUAUGUAUUUUAAGAUACUUGAACUAUAUAUGAAAAUAAAAUUACUAAACAAAAGUUGAAAAACAUAAAAUGCCACAAUAUCAAGCUUCUUUUGCAGUAUUAUAUAUUUAUUCAAUCCCCAGUUCCUGUUUGAUCUGCAAAGCAGCUUCAUAAAUCUCCUUUUGGUCACUUAAAGACUUGGAGACGCUCUCCUUUUGCAAGCAUCUCUCACCCCACUUCACGAGCUUAGGGAACUCGGCUACCAUGCUCCAGUUUCCUAGGGUCUCAAAGGUGUAAAAGAAGCUGUAGAACGGAAUAAGUGCCAAGUCUAUAUAGCCAAAGCUCUCAUCCCCAAAAUAUUGCUUGUCUCCGAGUUCUUCUUCCAAGAUUUUAAAGCACUGAAACAAGUCCUUCUUCGAUGAUUCUUUGACCUCACCUUCAGAUGCCCAUAGAUUCCUUCCAAUAGGAUAAAUCUGGACGUAACCAAUUUGCAUGUCAAUACUUCAUUAAUGUUUCCUUUCAAAAACUAAACAGAGUAAGACAGAGAAAACAAAUCAGUACUAGGAACUUACCUUCUUGUCGAUGUAGUCAGCCCAAAACCUGGCAUGUGCACGUCGAUAAGGAUCAGAAGGCAACAAUGAAGGUUUAUGGCUCCAAACCUCAUCAAUAUAUUGAACUAUGAUCAUUGACUCACAGAUGGGUCUCCCAUUAUGGAUUAAGACAGGGAUUUGCUGAUGAACUGGGUUCAUCUUGAGAAGAGUAGAGCUCUUGUUGCUCAAGUCCUCUACCUUAGAUUUAUAUUCUAUUCCCUUCUCUUCCAAAGCUAUCCUCACCCUUGCUGCAAAGGGACUCAUCUCAAAAUCCAGUAGAACCACUUCAUUA
rnacentral:lncRNA from 1 species